UUUUGACCUCGGAUCAGGUAGGGAUACCCGCUGAACUUAAGCAUAUCAAUAAGCGGAGGAAAAGAAACCAACAGGGAUUGCCCUAGUAACGGCGAGUGAAGCGGCAACAGCUCAAAUUUGAAAUCUGGCUCUUUUAGAGUCCGAGUUGUAAUUUGCAGAGGGCGCUUUGGCUUUGGCAGCGGUCCAAGUUCCUUGGAACAGGACGUCACAGAGGGUGAGAAUCCCGUACGUGGUCGCUGGCUAUUGCCGUGUAAAGCCCCUUCGACGAGUCGAGUUGUUUGGGAAUGCAGCUCUAAAUGGGAGGUACAUUUCUUCUAAAGCUAAAUAUUGGCCAGAGACCGAUAGCGCACAAGUAGAGUGAUCGAAAGAUGAAAAGCACUUUGGAAAGAGAGUCAAACAGCACGUGAAAUUGUUGAAAGGGAAGCGCUUGCAGCCAGACUUGCUUGCAGUUGCUCAUCCGGGCUUUUGCCCGGUGCACUCUUCUGUAGGCAGGCCAGCAUCAGUUUGGGCGGUGGGAUAAAGGUCUCUGUCACGUACCUCUCUUCGGGGAGGCCUUAUAGGGGAGACGACAUACCACCAGCCUGGACUGAGGUCCGCGCAUCUGCUAGGA
rnacentral:rRNA from 1 species